rnacentral:rRNA from 1 species
AUUGAACGCUGGCGGCAGGCCUAACACAUGCAAGUCGAGCGGGGGUAGCAAUACCCUAGCGGCGGACGGGUGAGGAAUGCAUCGGAACGUGCCCAGUAAUGGGGGAUAACACAGCGAAAGCUGUGCUAAUACCGCAUACGCCCUGAGGGGGAAAGCGGGGGAUCGCAAGACCUCGCGUUAUUGGAGCGGCCGAUGCCCGAUUAGCUAGUUGGUGAGGUAAAGGCUAACCAAGGCGACGAUCGGUAGCUGGUCUGAGAGGAUGAUCAGCCACACUGGAACUGAGACACGGUCCAGACUCCUACGGGAGGCAGCAGUGGGGAAUAUUGGACAAUGGGCGCAAGCCUGAUCCAGUCAUGCCGCGUGAGUGAAGAAGGCCUUCGGGUUGUAAAGCUCUUUAAGCGGGGAGGAAGGUUCGCAACCUAAUACGUUGUGGAAUUGACGUUACCUGCAGAAUAAGCACCGGCUAACUCUGUGCCAGCAGCCGCCGUAAAAC